ACUCAAAGGAAUAGACGGGGGCCCGCACAAGCAGCGGAGCGUGCGGUUUAAUUCGACGCAACGCGCAGAACCUUACCAGGCCUUGACAUGCCCCUGCAAGCCGGCGAAAGCCGGUCGCCCUCGAGGGUGGGGCACAGGUGCUGCAUGGCUGUCGUCAGCUCGUGUCGUGAGAUGUUGGGUUCAGUCCCGCAACGAGCGCAACCCCUGCGACCAGUUGCUCUGCUGUCUGGUCGGACCGCCGGCACCACCGGAGGAGGGCGGGGAUGACGUCAAGUCCGCAUGGCCCUGACGGCCUGGGCGACACGCACGCUACAAUGGCCGGGACAAUGGGCGCGAAGCCGCGAGGCGGAGCUAAUCCCCCAAACCCGGCCCCAGUUCGGAUCGGGGGCUGCAACCCGCCCCCGUGAAGGCGGAGUUGCUAGUAACCGCGGGUCAGCCAUACCGCGGUGAAUCUGUUCCCGGGCCUUGCACACACCGCCCGU
rnacentral:rRNA from 1 species